UUUCCAUUAUUUUCUUUCUCUCUCUUCAAGUUUUCUCUUCCAUUUUUUCCUUUCAUUGCUACUCUUCAAGUUUUCCCUUCCAUUGCUCACAAGAUGUCACAAAAUAGUUGUUCAUCACAAAGGAGAUGCAACUGCGGGUUGAUUGUUAAAAAUCUCACUUCCACUACUCCAUCUAAUCCGGGAAGAAGAUUUCUCAGAUGUCCUCGUCCGGAUCAAUCCUCAUGUGGAUAUUGGGAAUGGGAAGACCAAGCUUUCCCGGAGAAAGCUUACAUUUAAAAUUUAGAGUUGUUGUUGAAAGAUAUAAAAAACGAACGGGACAAUGUGAAGAUUGAAAUGGACAACUUGAAGCUGGGAAUGGAUAAUUUGAAGCUUGAAAUGGCCAAUUUGAAGAAUGAAAGUGAGAAUUUGAAGAAUGAAUGGGAAAAUUUAUCGGAAAUGGUUGCUACCCUGGAAGCUACAAAUCAAUUAGAAAUGAACAAAGCCAGGACAUUUGAAGAGAAGUAUUCUAAGAUGAAAUUGACUGUUAUGAUUUCAUGGGCUCUUUUUGUUGCUUUUUUGGUAGCACUGUUGGCAAAAUGAAUUCGGUAUGUAAUUUUAGGAGUUAGUGGCUUAAAAUUUAGAUUUUGAUGAAGCUAAUAUGUGUAUGUAGUAGUUGAUGAACUAAUGGUUGAACUUUUCUUUUGGAGGUGUACUGAAUGUACUUGUAAUGUGGAUGUAAGUGUUUGUAAUUUAAGGAUGUUAUGGUAAUGUGGUUUGUUAAUGUAAUGUGAAAAUCUUUCAAUGUUUAUG